rnacentral:rRNA from 1 species
UACGUAGGGUGCAAGCGUUAAUCGGAAUUACUGGGCGUAAAGUGUGCGCAGGUGGCCGCGCAAGUCGAGUGUGAAAUCCCCGAGCUUAACUUGGGAAUUGCGCUCGAAACUACGUGGCUCGAGUGUGGCAGAGGAAGGUGGAAUUCCACGUGUAGCGGUGAAAUGCGCAGAUAUCGGGAAGAACACCCGUGGCUAAGGCGGCUCUCUAGUACGGUACUGACGCUGAGACGCGAAAGCGUGGGGAGCGAACAGG